AACAAACGCUGGCGGCGUGCCUAACACAUGCAAGUCGUACGAGAAAGGGUCCUUCGGGGCCUGAGUAAAGUGGCGCACGGGUGAGUAACGCGUGGAUAAUCUACCCUUCAGUUGGGAAUAACUCAUCGAAAGGUGGGCUAAUACCGAAUAACACUGUGAGACCUUGGUCGAUCAGUCAAAGAGAGCCUCUGCUUGCAUGCCCUCGCUGAAGGAUGAGUCCGCGUACCAUUAGAUAGUUGGUAGGGUAAUGGCCUACCAAGGCGACGAUGGUUAGCUGGUCUGAGAGGAUGAUCAGCCACACUGGAACUGAGACACGGUCCAGACUCCUACGGGAGGCAGCAGCGAGGAAUCUUGCGCAAUGGGGGCAACCCUGACGCAGCAACGCCGCGUGAGUGAGGAAGGUCUUCGGAUCGUAAAGCUCUGUCGGAUGGAAAGAACCGCGUGGGGGUAAAUAGCCCUCAUGUCUGACGGUACCAUCAGAGGAAGCACCGGCUAACUCCGUGCCAGCAGCCGCCGUAA
rnacentral:rRNA from 1 species